ACGAUUAAAGCUCUCUUCGGAGAGUGCAUAGAGUGGCGCACGGGUGAGUAACACGUAAGUAAUCUACCUUCGAGUGGGGAAUAACAGUCGGAAACGACUGCUAAUACCGCAUAAUGCAGCGGCAUCGUAAGAUGACAGUUGUUAAAGGAGCAAUUCGCUUGAAGAGGAGCUUGCGGCAGAUUAGCUUGUUGGUAAGGUAAUGGCUUACCAAGGCUACGAUCUGUAUCCGGUCUAAGAGGACGGUCGGACACACUGACACUGAAUAACGGGUCAGACUCCUACGGGAGGCAGCAGUCGGGAAUUUUGGGCAAUGGGGGAAACCCUGACCCAGCAACGCCGCGUGAAGGAUGAAGUUUUUCGGAAUGUAAACUUCGAAAGAAUAGGAAGAAUAAAUGACGGUACUAUUUAUAAGGUCCGGCUAACUACGUGCCAGCAGCCGCGGUAAUACGUAGGGACCAAGCGUUGUUCGGAUUUACUGGGCGUAAAGGGCGCGUAGGCGGCGUGGUAAGUCACUUGUGAAAUCUCUGAGCUCAACUCAGAACGGCCAAGUGAUGCUGCUGUGCUAGAGUGCAGAAGGGGCAAUCAGAAUUCUUGGUGUAGCGGUGAAAUGCGUAGAUAUCAAGAGGAAUACCUGAGGCGAAGACGGGUUGCUAGGCUGACACUGACGCUGAGUGCGCGAAAGCCAGGGGAGCAAACGGGAUUAGAUACCCCGGUAGUCCUGGCCCUAAACGAUGAAUACUUGGUGUCUGGAGUUAUUAGUGCUCCGGGUGCCCGUCGCUAACGUUUUUUAGUAUUCCGCC
rnacentral:rRNA from 1 species